UACAUUCAUUUUCAUUUACAUUUUAAAGAAUGAUUUACCAAACUAUUUUUAUGUUACUACUCAUACAAUAUAAACUCACAUCUUUUCCCCAAAGUCUGCUCUUCUCAGCAUAAAAACUACCACAUCUAUAACGUGUGGUUCCCCACUGGUCACACACUAGUCGAAUAUAAGACUAUUAUACAGUGUUGUAAAGUUGUGUAAAUUAUCUUUGUGAGUUAAACAAAGAUG